AGAAUUACCAGGGAGAUCUAACUGCAAUUUCAGACUGAAUGGAGAAUUGUUGUCUACGGUUUAUACUACACUGAAUGUGCAAACAGGCACAUUUAGUAACCCAUUGAUACAUCUGUUUCGAGAGAGCAGCAACAGCAGUGAGGUGAAGUUGAUCUGCAAGGUCAUAGUUCCCCAGGUUCCCCAUACAGCAGAGCCGAAUGGAUCAUGAGCAGAUCAACAACAUCUGUUACUCUGACUUCAUCGGACAAAGUCAGAAGUGACCGAUUCUCAUCUCCCUCAUUCAACGGAUAUGAUUUCCCACUGCAUGUCUCACCGGUGACAUUUGAGGAUAGUGGAGUUUUCACAUGUUUCUUUGAACAACAAAGGUUCAGCUGGGUUAAAAUCACAACCAUUCGAGUAUCUGAAUCUGGAGGGCCCCCUGGUGGCCAGCCCGUGGUGGUGAGGUGUGAGGUGUCGGAGGUGAGCACCGACCCUGUGACCCUGGUCUGGAUGAGGAUGGAGGGAGCAGGUGGCUGCUGGUUAAACAGGACGUCCUGACAGAGAGUCACCCUAACAGGACGCUCAGUGUGACCCUGCCCAGCCUCCGUAGGGACCAGCUGCACUGGCAGUGUGCUGUGUUCACAGAGGGCAUGCUCAGAGCGACAGCCUCCUGACCCUCACACUCCCCACACAGACAAAAAUGUCUUCAACGACAGGGAUGGGCACCGAGACAGUGGUCAGAGGGGUGAUUACAAUGGCUGCCACCCUAGGAAUUCUGGGACUUCUCGGGUUCUACUGUCGAAGACCAAGCGGCACCCAGACACAGAGACAAAAGGAGGAACCUGCUCAACUGGAGGAGACUAGUGUAUAGCCUUGUUGCUAGCCUAUGGCCUGUGGCUGUGUUGAAAUAUAGCUUUCCCACCCAUGUCUGUACCAACCAGUGACGUCUUUCACACUGAAUUACCACAUGACACACUGUGUUCUGUCAAAAGGUCUGGCAAUAGAAACUUCACUGGUGUUAAAAUAAUGUGUUAACCACCAACAACCUUCCCCUCAAUGACUAAUAUUGAAAACAUGACCAUGUUAUGAUACUGUAAGCAUCUUUCCAAAAGACCUAAAUAAUUCACACUGAGUGUACAAAACAUUAGGAACACCUGCUCUUUCCAUGACAUAGUCUGACCAGGUGAAUCCAGGUGAAAGCUAUGAUCCCUUAUUGAUGUCACUUGUUAAAUCCACUACGAUCAGUGUAGAUAAAGGGGAGGAGACAGGUUAAAGAAGGAUUCUUGAGACGAUUGAGACAUGGAUUGUGUAUGUGUGGCAUUCAGAGGGUGAAUGGUCAAGACAAAAUAGUAAUGUUUUUACACUCAGUGUAUAUUAUUUAGUUCAUCCUAGAAAUGUACAUUUCCAUUCAUCCUCAGUCUGUAAUGUUUGUACACAAUAAAUGGGGAUGUUAAUACUA